UUCAACGGCCGCGGUAUCCUAACCGUGCGAAGGUAGCGUAAUCACUUGUUCUUUAAAUGCGGACUAGUAUGAAUGGCAUCACGAAGGUUAUACUGUCUCCUUUCUCUAAUCAGUGAAACUAAUCUCCCCGUGAAGAAGCGAGGAUAAAACUAUAAGACGAGAAGACCCUAUGGAGCUUUAAACAACAUAGCAUUUGCCAUAUUAUACAUAAAUUUAUAAAAAUUAAUAAAUCUUCAGGCAACUUGACUAUAAGUUUUUGGUUGGGGUGACCGCGGAGCAUAACAAAACCUCCAUGUUGAAAGAACACUCUUCUAAGCCAAGAGUUACACCUCUAAGCAUCAACAUAUUGACACUCAUUGACCCAAUAUAUUUGAACAACGAACCAAGUUACCCUAGGGAUAACAGCGCAAUCCACUUCAAGAGCUCCUAUCGACAAGUGGGUUUACGACCUCGAUGUUGGAUCAGGGUUUCCCAGUGGUGCAGCCGCUACUAAAGGUUCGUUUGUUCAACGAUUAAAACCCUACGUGAUC
rnacentral:rRNA from 1 species